rnacentral:misc_RNA from 1 species
UAUUUAAAGAAUAGGGAAUCAAACAGAAAUCAUAUCGGAUCGAAAAAUCAAGAAUCGCACCGAAUCAGAAUCGAAACAAUAAAGAAUUAAAUUGGAACCAUACGAAAAUUUCAGUUCGAUUUCUAUUUCAGUUUCUAGGCAGACUCUGAACUGAACCGAAACCACUCAUCUAGUAACAUGAUUUUAAUAAUAUGGCCCAUAACGAUUUCAAGAACCAAUGAUAAUUAAAACAAGUUAUUUAAUCAUUAAAAUUAAUAAAACUUUAAAAUUAUGAUGGUACAAACUAUCAAUUUUUUAUGUUUUAUUAUAUUUAUAGCAAAAAUUAAAAUUAUGGUAGAGAAAAUAAUUUUAUAAAUUAAUUUUGAAUAUUUACAGAAAUACAUAAAAUUAUAAUAAUUUUUUUAAAAAAAUCAGAAGAUAAAACUACAAGAAAAUAAAAAACCUAAAUACAAAUACAAAAUUAUUUAUUUUAUUCUCAAAUUUCA